rnacentral:tRNA from 1 species
GGUCUGGCGUAGCUGGGCGGCGACGAAGCCGUUGGCGUUGCGGACGCCGAACCCCAGACGUCGCUGCUGGGCGGCGUUGUGGCCGGCGGCCAGGGCGCC